CAUGGCACCUGCGGUGAAUCCUGCUCCAUAAGAGCUAUUGGAGGCCUCAGUGCCUGCAGCCUCCUACUUAAGGGGGUUCCCGGUCCAUGGGACCCUAAAGGUUGGCUGCCCCAGGACUCUUCUCCACCUUGUGAGACACUCGAGGGAUUUGGAGCCUGGUUCUGGGCCAUUGUAAGGGCUCUGGUUCUUUUGGUUUUAGGUCUUUGGCGAGCUCUUCAUGGAGGAGCAGAAAAGAUCUUUCCUCCAGGCGGGGCUGCUGGCCAUCCACCACCACCUCCUCCACGUCAGCCAGGCUGGCCUGGUGCUGACCUAUUCCAUCUUGGGGGAAGCCGGCCAGUUGCUAGAGGAUGAGGGGGACAUUACAGCCAACCUCAUGGUCCAACUAUUUAAUAUCAGGGACUUGGGCCAGGUGCCCAAAGCCCUGCAGUGGCUGUGCUCCGUGGGGCAGCAUUGAAGACCCCCCCUCUUUGUAUGACCAGCUCCCACCCCCUGCCGCAGCCUCGCUCCAGGCCCUCCAUCCACCCGCUCCAGCUCUGCCUGCUCCUCCUCCUGAUCUUCCCCAACCCCUCCGAUUUCGACUACAUGGCUUCGACCUUUGCGUGGAUAUGGACUUUGGCUCGUACUUCUGACCACCCGGCUUCGACCUCUGGCCUGGACAUGGACACUGGCUCCGGUUCUGCCUGGACAUACUCAGCACCCGGCAGCAGUAGACAGGCCCCACCAUUAAUCAAACCCUAACCCCGCCCCAUGACACCUUAGUCCCUCCCACCUGUCACCGGAAGUCCCGCCCCAUGCGGGUAUUACUUCGUGGGCAAGGCGGCCACAUGACUGGAAGCCAGGUGUGUCAUGUGACCCCUCUAAGAACUCCUCCCACCACCCUCUACCAAUCAGGAUGGGUUUCCUCCCGGAAGGACCCCCCCAAGAGGAGAUUUGACCAAUCAG